rnacentral:lncRNA from 1 species
UUUAGGUUAUUUGGUUUUGUUAUUUGGGCUGAUUUUCGCACAGAUUUAAUGGAUGAUUCAAGGUGUUUACUGGUGUUUGAAAUGGUAGAGAAGAUGGCUGGUAUUCAUGGAGUUUCAGCCCGUUUUCAGGCCAUUUUUGGGUGGUUAUGGUUUGUUUUUCAGUUUGGUUUUCUUUCUGCCCGCUGUAUACCUCUGUAUUCCGAAUGUAUAUAGAGUGUAUACAGCACUCUCCCCAGUCCCCUUUUUUCUGUCUCCUCCCUAUUUU